GGGGGUAUAGAGUCACUCCUAACCCCAGUGUGACGUUACCAAACUGUUGCCUCGGCGGGAAUUCUGCCCCGGGCGCGUCGCAGCCCCGGACCAAGGCGCCCGCCGGAGGACCAACCAAAACUCUUUUGUAUACCCCCUCGCGGGUUUUUUAUAUCUGAGCCUUCUCGGCGCCCCUAGUGGGCGUUUCGAAAACGAAUCAAAACUUUCAACAACGGAUCUCUUGGUUCUGGCAUCGAUGAAGAACGCAGCGAAAUGCGAUAAGUAAUGUGAAUUGCAGAAUUCAGUGAAUCAUCGAAUCUUUGAACGCACAUUGCGCCCGCCAGUAUUCUGGCGGGCAUGCCUGUCCGAGCGUCAUUUCAACCCUCGAACCCCUCCGGGGGUCCGGCGUUGGGGAUCGGCCCUUAACCGGCCGGCCCCGAAAUACAGUGGCGGCCUCGCCGCAGCCUCUCAUGCGCAGUAGUUUGCACACUCGCACCGGGAGCGCGGGCGCGGCCACAGCCGUAAAACAAACCAAACUCUGAAAUGUUGACCUCGGAUCAGGUAGGAAUACCCGCUGAACUUAAGCAUAUCAAAAAGCGGAGGAA
rnacentral:rRNA from 1 species